rnacentral:rRNA from 1 species
UCAGCCGCCGCGGUAAAACCAGCACCUCGAGUGGUCAGGAGGUUUAUUGGGCCUAAAGCAUCCGUAGCCGGUUGUUUAAGUUUUCGGUUAAAUCUAUGCGCUUAACGUAUAGGCUGCCGAAAAUACUGGACAGCUAGGGAGUGGGAGAGGUACACGGUACUCAAUAGGAAGGGGUAAAAUCCUCUGAUCUGUUGAUAACCACCUGUGGCGAAGGCGGUGUACCAGAACACGUUCGACGGUGAGGGAUGAAAGCUGGGGGAGCAAACCGGAUUAGAUACCCGGGUAGUCCCAGCUGUAAACGAUGCAAACUCGGUGAUGCAUUGGCUUGUGGCCAAUGCAGUGCCGCAGGGAAGCCGUUAAGUUUGCCGCCUGGGAAGUACGUACGCAAGUAUGAAACUUAAAGGAAUUGGCGGGGGAGCACAA